UGGAGCUUCAACUUCUCAAUCUAUAAAAUUGAAACGAUACAGAGAAGAUUAACAUGACUCUUGCACAAGAAUAACACUCACAAAUCAAGAAAUAAUCCAAAUUUUA
rfam:Solanum tuberosum cultivar DM 1-3 516 R44 scf00092_63, whole genome shotgun sequence.